rnacentral:rRNA from 1 species
AGCGAACGCUGGCGGCAGGCCUAACACAUGCAAGUCGAACGAACUCUUCGGAGUUAGUGGCGGACGGGUGAGUAACACGUGGGAACGUGCCCUUAGGUUCGGAAUAACUCAGGGAAACUUGUGCUAAUACCGAAUGUGCCCUUCGGGGGAAAGAUUUAUCGCCUUUAGAGCGGCCCGCGUCUGAUUAGCUAGUUGGUGGGGUAAUGGCUCACCAAGGCUACGAUCAGUAGCUGGUCUGAGAGGAUGACCAGCCACAUUGGGACUGAGACACGGCCCAAACUCCUACGGGAGGCAGCAGUGGGGAAUCUUGCGCAAUGGGCGAAAGCCUGACGCAGCCAUGCCGCGUGGAUGAUGAAGGUCUUAGGAUUGUAAAAUCCUUUCACCGGUGAAGAUAAUGACUGUAGCCGGAGAAGAAGCCCCGGCUAACUUCGUGCCAGCCGCCGCGGUAAUAC